rnacentral:rRNA from 1 species
CCUACGGGGGGCUGCAGUGGGGAAUAUUGGACAAUGGGCGAAAGCCUGAUCCAGCCAUGCCGCGUGUGUGAAGAAGGCCUUCGGGUUGUAAAGCACUUUCAGUGGGGAAGAAAGCCUUGGGGCUAAUACCCUCGAGGAAGGACAUCACCCACAGAAGAAGCACCGGCUAACUCCGUGCCAGCAGCCGCGGUAAUACGGAGGGUGCGAGCGUUAAUCGGAAUUACUGGGCGUAAAGCGCGCGUAGGCGGUCUGAUAAGCCGGUUGUGAAAGCCCCGGGCUCAACCUGGGAACGGCAUCCGGAACUGUCAGGCUAGAGUGCAGGAGAGGAAGGUAGAAUUCCCGGUGUAGCGGUGAAAUGCGUAGAGAUCGGGAGGAAUACCAGUGGCGAAGGCGGCCUUCUGGACUGACACUGACGCUGAGGUGCGAAAGCGUGGGUAGCGAACAGGAUUAGAUACCCGGGUAGUC